rnacentral:rRNA from 1 species
GCAAGUCGAACGGCAGCAUGAUCUAGCUUGCUAGAUUGAUGGCGAGUGGCGAACGGGUGAGUAAUACAUCGGAACGUGCCCUGUAGUGGGGGAUAACUAGUCGAAAGAUUAGCUAAUACCGCAUACGACCUGAGGGUGAAAGUGGGGGACCGCAAGGCCUCAUGCUAUAGGAGCGGCCGAUGUCUGAUUAGCUAGUUGGUGGGGUAAAGGCCCACCAAGGCGACGAUCAGUAGCUGGUCUGAGAGGACGAUCAGCCACACUGGGACUGAGACACGGCCCAGACUCCUACGGGAGGCAGCAGUGGGGAAUUUUGGACAAUGGGCGAAAGCCUGAUCCAGCAAUGCCGCGUGUGUGAAGAAGGCCUUCGGGUUGUAAAGCACUUUUGUCCGGAAAGAAAUGGCUCUGGUUAAUACCUGGGGUCGAUGACGGUACCGGAAGAAUAAGGACCGGCUAACUACGUGCCAGCAGCCGCGGUAAUACGUAGGGUCCAAGCGUUAAUCGGAAUUACUGGGCGUAAAGCGUGCGCAGGCGGUUGUGCAAGACCGAUGUGAAAUCCCCGAGCUUAACUUGGGAAUUGCAUUGGUGACUGCACGGCUAGAGUGUGUCAGAGGGGGGUAGAAUUCCACGUGUAGCAGUGAAAUGCGUAGAGAUGUGGAGGAAUACCGAUGGCGAAGGCAGCCCCCUGGGAUAACACUGACGCUCAUGCACGAAAGCGUGGGGAGCAAACAGGAUUAGAUACCCUGGUAGUCCACGCCCUAAACGAUGUCAACUAGUUGUUGGGGAUUCAUUUCCUUAGUAACGUACCUAACGCGUGAAGUUGACCGCCU